rnacentral:rRNA from 1 species
AUUGGGGCAUCCUAUACAUGCAAGUCGAGCGGACAGAUGGGAGCUUGCUCCCUGAUGUUAGCGGCGGACGGGUGAGUAACACGUGGGUAACCUGCCUGUAAGACUGGGAUAACUCCGGGAAACCGGGGCUAAUACCGGAUGGUUGUUUGAACCGCAUGGUUCAGACAUAAAAGGUGGCUUCGGCUACCACUUACAGAUGGACCCGCGGCGCAUUAGCUAGUUGGUGAGGUAACGGCUCACCAAGGCGACGAUGCGUAGCCGACCUGAGAGGGUGAUCGGCCACACUGGGACUGAGACACGGCCCAGACUCCUACGGGAGGCAGCAGUAGGGAAUCUUCCGCAAUGGACGAAAGUCUGACGGAGCAACGCCGCGUGAGUGAUGAAGGUUUUCGGAUCGUAAAGCUCUGUUGUUAGGGAAGAACAAGUGCCGUUCAAAUAGGGCGGCACCUUGACGGUACCUAACCAGAAAGCCACGGCUAACUACGUGCCAGCAGCCGCGGUAAUACGUAGGUGGCAAGCGUUGUCCGGAAUUAUUGGGCGUAAAGGGCUCGCAGGCGGUUUCUUAAGUCUGAUGUGAAAGCCCCCGGCUCAACCGGGGAGGGUCAUUGGAAACUGGGGAACUUGAGUGCAGAAGAGGAGAGUGGAAUUCCACGUGUAGCGGUGAAAUGCGUAGAGAUGUGGAGGAACACCAGUGGCGAAGGCGACUCUCUGGUCUGUAACUGACGCUGAGGAGCGAAAGCGUGGGGAGCGAACAGGAUUAGAUACCCUGGUAGUCCACGCCGUAAACGAUGAGUGCUAAGUGUUAGGGGGUUUCCGCCCCUUAGUGCUGCAGCUAACGCAUUAAGCACUCCGCCUGGGGAGUACGGUCGCAAGACUGAAACUCAAAGGAAUUGACGGGGGCCCGCACAAGCGGUGGAGCAUGUGGUUUAAUUCGAAGCAACGCGAAGAACCUUACCAGGUCUUGACAUCCUCUGACAAUCCUAGAGAUAGGACGUCCCCUUCGGGGGCAGAGUGACAG